rnacentral:rRNA from 1 species
AGUGAACGCUGGCGGCAGGCCUAACACAUGCAAGUCGAACGGCAGCACAGGAGAGCUUGCUCUCUGGGUGGCGAGUGGCGGACGGGUGAGGAAUGCAUCGGAAUCUGCCCAUUUGUGGGGGAUAACCUCGGGAAACCGGGACUAAUACCGCAUACGACCUACGGGUGAAAGCAGGGGAUCUUCGGACCUUGCGCAGAUGGAUGAGCCGAUGCCGGAUUAGCUAGUUGGAGGGGUAAAGGCCCACCAAGGCGACGAUCCGUAGCUGGUCUGAGAGGAUGAUCAGCCACACUGGGACUGAGACACGGCCCAGACUCCUACGGGAGGCAGCAGUGGGGAAUAUUGGACAAUGGGCGCAAGCCUGAUCCAGCCAUGCCGCGUGUGUGAAGAAGGCCUUCGGGUUGUAAAGCACUUUUGUUGGGAAAGAAAAGCAGCCGGUUAAUACCCGGUUGUCAUGACGGUACCCAAAGAAUAAGCACCGGCUAACUUCGUG